rnacentral:rRNA from 1 species
UACCGACUAGCUAGCCCCACCCUAAAAACAACAAACCACUAUUAAUACCCCCAAAAAUAUUGACACGCAUAAAACAAAUCAUUUUUCCCC